AUCCAAACUGGGAAUUCCAGUGACCCCAGGGACCCCAAACUGGUCCAAACAGGGCCCGAACUGGUUCAGUCUGGUCACAAACCCAGCCUAAACUGGUCUGAACUGGUCCAAACCGGCCUAAACUGGUCCGAACUGGUCCGAACUGGUCUGAACUGGUCCGAAUUGGUCCGAACUGGUCUGAACUGGUCCAAACUGGGAGCGUCAGGGGGGUUGGGAGGGGCCUUGAGGGAACUGGGGGGUUCUGGCCCCAAACUGGGCCGGACUGGUCCGGACUGGUCCCAAACGGGACCUAAACUGGUCAGAACUGGUCUGAACUGGUCCGAACUGGUCCCAAACCGAGCCCGAACCGGUCCGGAACCGCCGCUUGGCCCCGCCCCCUCUCUGACCCCACCCCUCAACCAAUCAGCGCGGGGAGAGAGCGGCUCCGACCAAUCAGCGGCGAGAAUCCGCCGAGGGGGCGGGGCCGGGCGGCUCCGGCCAAUCAGAGCGGAGGGAACGGCGGGGAUCACGUGGGCGCGCGGUCACGUGGGGCGGGGCGCGGUCACGUGAGGGGCCCGGCGGUCACGUGGGCGGCGCGCGG
rnacentral:lncRNA from 1 species